GUGGGGAAUAUUGGACAAUGGGCGCAAGCCUGAUCCAGCCAUGCCGCGUGAGUGAUGAAGGCCCUAGGGUUGUAAAGCUCUUUCACCGGAGAAGAUAAUGACGGUAUCCGGAGAAGAAGCCCCGGCUAACUUCGUGCCAGCAGCCGCGGUAAUACGAAGGGGGCUAGCGUUGUUCGGAAUUACUGGGCGUAAAGCGCACGUAGGCGGACAUUUAAGUCAGGGGUGAAAUCCCGGGGCUCAACCCCGGAACUGCCUUUGAUACUGGGUGUCUGGAGUAUGGAAGAGGUAAGUGGAAUUCCGAGUGUAGAGGUGAAAUUCGUAGAUAUUCGGAGGAACACCAGUGGCGAAGGCGGCCAACUGGUCCAUUACUGACGCUGAGGUGCGAAAGCGUGGGGAGCAAACAGGAUUAGAAACCCUAGUAGUCC
rnacentral:rRNA from 1 species